AAUCAACGCUGGCGGCGUGCCUAACACAUGCAAGUCGAGCGCGAAAGGGGAGCAAUCCCCAAGUAGAGCGGCGAACGGGUGAGUAACGCGUGGGUAAUCUGCCUCCGAGUGGGGAACAACAUCGGGAAACUGGUGCUAAUACCGCAUAACAUCGUCGGGUUUUCGGAUCUGACGAUCAAAGCCGGGGACCGCAAGGCCUGGCGCUUGGAGAGGAGCCCGCGUCCGAUUAGCUAGNGGUGGGGUAAUGGCCCACCAAGGCUUCGAUCGGUAGCCGGCCUGAGAGGGCGGACGGCCACACUGGGACUGAGACACGGCCCAGACUCCUACGGGAGGCAGCAGUGGGGAAUUUUUCGCAAUGGGCGAAAGCCUGACGAAGCAACGCCGCGUGGAGGAUGAAGGCCUCGGUC
rnacentral:rRNA from 1 species